rnacentral:sRNA from 2 species
AUCCGCGAGAUUCCUAUCAGCAUAGACUGUCUGAAUUUAGUUCCUAUCAUUUGAUUUCUGUUGAUGAAUCUGGAUGUGAUGAACGGCUAGGAUUUAGGUGCCUAAAAUGGCAUCCUUCUUUCUCAUAUCUUUACGGGUUCAACUGAUGACCGCUUUCUUCGAAGAUUUUAUUGGGCUGCUCCAGCACUGUCGUGGACGGUAGCUGGGACCAAACUCCGCCCCAAUUACUGUUUGAACAAUGCAUCAUUCCACCACCACCCAGCCAGGAUAAAACAGAUGUGCUUCGAUGCUGGAGUGAAACUACUAUAUUUGCCAACCUAUUCACCUGAUCUGAACCCAAUAGAGGAUUCUUUGCGGAGUAGAAGGCUUACAUCAGGAAGAACUGGUC